GCACAUCUUAGAGGAACGGAACACAAAAUAAAGACGUGUAAAUAUGAAGCGUCAUGCUGCCGCAGCACUAAAUGAUCAUAAAGAGAGUGGAGCAGAGAGAGGUAGACUUGGAAAAAGAUCUAUGUAUAAAUACAUAUGCAUGUGAGCGCACAUGUAUGUGUAAAAGAGAGGUAUAUGAUUAUACACGGAUCUCAGUCAAAUGAAUGAAUAAAUUAACUCCACUGUAGACGGAAGCUAGGUAGAAAGGAGCGAGGUGUACCGAUUGCUUAUCGCAGCCUUGACCAGUGGGUGUAUCAGUGUGAUAACACAAUCCCGCAAAAAA